GGCUCGGUAGUUCAGGGGUUAGAGCACUAGUCUUCUAAACCAGGGGUCUUGAGUUUGAAUGUCACCAAGGCCU
rnacentral:tRNA from 1 species